AUUGAACGCUGGCGGCAGGCCUAACACAUGCAAGUCGAACGAGUGGCGGACGGGUGAGUAAUGUCUGGGAAACUGCCCGAUGGAGGGGGAUAACUCCUGGAAACGGUAGCUAAUACCGCAUACCAUCGGAUGUGCCCAGAUGGGAUUAGCUAGUAGGGGGGGUAACGGCUCACCUAGGCGACGAUCCCUAGCUGGUCUGAGAGGAGGACCAGCCACACUGGAACUGAGAAACGGUCCAGAAUCCUACGGGAGGCAGCAGAGGGUAAUAUUGCACAAGUGGCGCAAGCCUGAUGCAGCCAUGCCGCGUGUAUGAAGAAGUCCUUCGGGUUUUAAAGUACUUUCAGCGAGGAGGCGUUACUCGCAGAAGAAGCACCGGCUAACUCCGUGCCAGCAGCCGCGGUAAUAC
rnacentral:rRNA from 1 species